rnacentral:ncRNA from 1 species
UAAACUUCAAUGAUUGGAAAAAGUAGCACGAUUUUGCUGACUUAGAGAGCCUGCGGCAGGUGAAAGCAGGAGAGCAGAUUGUGUGAAUGGGUCCAUGAGAGCUGUUUUGAAAAAAGUAGAAACAGACGGUUCAUCCACGUUACCGGAUACUUAAGUGAGAGCAUAUUUUGCUCUAACGUGAGGUGGUACCGCGGGUAAAUCCCGUCCUCCGU